rnacentral:rRNA from 1 species
UUGGGAAUCUUGCACAAUGGGGGAAACCCUGAUGCAGCGACGCCGCGUGGAGGACGAAGGGUCUAGGCCUGUAAACUCCUUUUUUCGGGAAAGACUUAGGACGGUACCCGAAGAAUAAGGACCGGCUAACUACGUGCCAGCAGCCGCGGUAAGACGUAGGGUCCAAGCGUUGUCCGGAUUUACUGGGCGUAAAGAGCGCGUAGGCGGCUCGUUAAGUGUAGAGUGAAAUCUCUGGGCUCACCCCAGAAACUGCUCUGCAUACUGGCGAGCUGGAGGGAUGGAGAGGCUUGUGGAAUUCCUGGUGUAGCGGUGAAAUGCGUUGAUAUCAGGAGGAACACCCAUGGCGAAGGCAGCAAGCUGGCCAUCACCUGACGCUGAGGCGCGAAAGCGUGGGUAGCAAACA